GAUGAACGCUGGCGGCGUGCCUAAUACAUGCAAGUCGAGCGAACGGACGAGAAGCUUGCUUCUCUGAUGUUAGCGGCGGACGGGUGAGUAACACGUGGAUAACCUACCUAUAAGACUGGGAUAACUUCGGGAAACCGGAGCUAAUACCGGAUAAUAUUUUGAACCGCAUGGUUCAAAAGUGAAAGACGGUCUUGCUGUCACUUAUAGAUGGAUCCGCGCUGCAUUAGCUAGUUGGUAAGGUAACGGCUUAUCAAGGCAACGAUGCAUAGCCGACCUGAGAGGGUGAUCGGCCACACUGGAACUGAGACACGGUCCAGACUCCUACGGGAGGCAGCAGUAGGGAAUCUUCCGCAAUGGGCGAAAGCCUGACGGAGCAACGCCGCGUGAGUGAUGAAGGUCUUCGGAUCGUAAAACUCUGUUAUUAGGGAAGAACAUAUGUGUAAGUAACUGUGCACAUCUUGACGGUACCUAAUCAGAAAGCCACGGCUAACUACGUG
rnacentral:rRNA from 1 species